rnacentral:lncRNA from 1 species
CGCUUUGGUCACAGUGACCGCCACCGUCGCCGGGGGAUGGGUCCCUGAGACUUGGCGAAGUAGGAGCCCUGUGUGAUCGUGCGUCAGAGUCGGGGCUGAGACCAGCCCUGGCCAGGGCAGUUACCAGGACGGUCUCCGGAGGCCGGGAUUCGCGGAGGGUCCACCAGCAGGAAGAAACCCCAGGAGGAAGAAACCUCAGACAGAUCGCCGGGGAGGCAGCGCGGGAUCCCAGCCUCAGGCGUGCGCGGACGGUGUGCGGGUGAGUCUCCCCAAAAGUGGCGCCCUUGUGAUGUCGAGGACAGGUCUCCCUGUGUGCCCGUGGGCUGCUGUCUCACCGGUGGCUCGUAGUCGCGGAGACCAGAACCCGGCAGCUUCAGGGGCUGCCUGGGGGUGGGUGUUACCUGCUGUAUGUCUGUGUCCAUUAUGGGUGUGUGUGUGUGUGUGUGUGUGUGUGUCUGUGUGUCUGCGUGUGUGUGCGCGCGCGCGCGCGCGUGCGUGCGUGUCUGUGUGCCCACUACCGUCUCUCUCUUAAGUCUCUCUCUCUCUCUCUCUCUCUCUCUCUCUCUCUCUCUCUCUCUCUCUCUCUCCCUCUCUCCCUUCUCGCUCUUUCCGUCGCCCUCGCUUUCUGUCUCUGUCCGUCUGUGUGUGCGUGCGCCUUGGGACACAUGUUCCCUGUGCGCCGGAGGCUGGGUUUCUUGCACGUCGGCCUUUCUUCUGGUCAGCCUCUCCCCGCGUCUCUGCCUGGGUGUUGUGGCCGGUUGGCAAUCGUUUUCCCGGCGGUUCCGGCUUGGGGGUCUGUGAAGGCCUGGGCAACGUGGGCAUCUGCGUCGGAGCCGCAGGGGUUUUCAUUCCCUCCCCAUCCGGAGCAGCCUCUUUGCUAGGCUAGAUCCAGACGACCGCUCCCCAACCAAGGACAACGGCCUCCCAGGCGCUCAUUGUCCACCCGCAGGAGGGUGCCCGCAGACCUUCCAGAAGAUGCUUCUCACGCCUCUUGCCCUGCCCUCUGCCCUCAUGGAGAAAUCUAGCCACAGCUCGACGCAGGGACGGAGAAGGAAGCCGGCAAGGGGAUGGGGCAAGCCUCUCUCUCACUCAAAGGCAGUAUAGAAGUCCACCACAGAGGCAUAUCCAGUAUGGUGCCCACCACCUCAUCUUGGGGCUGGGUGAAGGGCAAGUGGCACUGCAGGAAAUAGUAGCCUUGUUCUCUGUCCUCAAUUUGUUCCAAGAUUGCGGCCCACACCAGUGCUUGGGCUUGUGAGAAUGGAGGGCUCUCCAACAGUUCAGAAACAAGCAGUCUGCCGCAGAGAGUCUAGCUUUGUACCAGGCUGCAGUGCAGUAGUGCCAUCUCAGCUCACUGCAACCUCUGCCUCCCGGGUUCAAGCGAUUGUCCUGCCUCAGCCUCCCGAGUAGCUGGGAUUACAGCCACAUGCCACCACACCCAGCUAAUGUUUGUAUUUUUAGUAGAUACGGGGUUUCAUCAUGUUGCCCAGGAUGCUCUUAAUUUCCUGACCUCGUGAUCCGCCCAUCUCGGCCUCCCAAAAUGCUGGGAUUACAGGCAUGAGCCACCAGAACCGGACAUGCUUUGCUUAAAAGCUAAAUAUUUUAGGCUUGUGUGCCAUUAGGCUCUGUUACAACUACUUAAUUCUGCUUUUGUAAUUCUAUAGCACCCAUUGAUAAUACAUAAACAAAUGAGCAUGAAUGUGUCUCAGUAAAAAUUUGUUCACAUAAACAGGCAGUCCACCCAUGAAGCUAUAGCUUGCUGACCCCUUGUUUAAACAAUCAAUUGAAUUCAAACAGAAAUAAAAGGAUCUUAUAUAUUUAACCAUGUUGAUACCAUUUCCAGUGCUUUUCAUUCUUCUAUGUAGAUCCAAAUUUCCUUUUGAUAUUAUUUUACUUCUGCCUGAAACAUUUUCUUUAACAUUUUUUAUAGUGUUGUUUUACUGGUGAUGAUUUCUUUCAGGUUCUAAGUGCCUGAACAAAAUCUUUAUUUCACCUACAUCUUGAAAGAUAGUUUCUCUGAGUCUACAAUUCCCAGCUGACAAUGUUUAUCUUCCAGUACUUUAAAGAUGUUGCUUCAUUAUCUUCUAAUUUUCUUUGUUUCCAAUAAAAUGUUUGCUGGCAUUUUUUGU